UACGAAGGGUGCAAACGUUGCUCGGAAUUAUUGGGCGUAAAGCGCACGUAGGCGGCAUUGCAAGUCCCAUGUGAAAGCCCACGGCUUAACCGUGGAAGUGCAUGGGAAACUGCAGUGCUUGAGUACUUAAGAGGAUCGCGGAAUUCCCGGUGUAGAGGUGAAAUUCGUAGAUAUCGGGAGGAACACCAGUGGCGAAGGCGGCGAUCUAGGAAGAUACUGACGCUGAGGUGCGAAAGCGUGGGGAGCAAACAGG
rnacentral:rRNA from 1 species